UGCUUUGCCUGCAAAAAGGUCGCUGAUUCAGUCCCUGGCGUUUCUAAGUAGGACUGGGAAAGACUGAAACCCUGGAGUACUGCUGCCAGUCAGGGUAGACAAUAUUGAGCCAGAUAGACCAAUGGCCUGACUCAAUAUAUGACAACUUUCCUGUGAGAUGCAGGCCGAGGGUUCUUUAAUCCUCUUCCUCAAGCAAUGUGGAUAGAAAGGAUGCCUUGAGUCGAGGAGGUCUUUCUUUAUAUACCCCAGCUGCUCCCUAUCAUUUUCCGGUUUCUUGGAGCGUGCAUAGGUGUUUAAGGGGGGGUGCUCUGCGAAGCCUUGUCUUGCUGUUCACACUGCAGGCGUUAAAGAGCCCUUUGCCGUUGCCUCAGGAGGGAAAAGUGGCUGAGGUAAAGAGACAGGUAUCAAUUCACCUCUUCUGUCUCUGAAAAUACCAAAGAAGCCAUUGGACAAUGAAAGGCCAAGCCAGCAGGAAAAACCAGGUGCGAGGAGACAGCUGUGCUGGCCAACCUGGCAGUUCCUGCGGAACAAGAGAAGAUGGUGAGGAUAAAAACCUGGACUGGACUACAGAAAAAGCACUGGAGAUGGAAUGGCACCCUCUGCUGGUUCUCAAGCACUUCCACACUAAGGAGAUUUGGUUUCUCUAAGUGACUUAUAUUAUUCCAAUUUACUAUUUAGAUAAGAAUGCAAGUUUGAAUUGAUUAAUAAGUGGAAUAAAUCAACUGAAGCUUUA